GUAAAAUUUGCAGACACGAUAGGCAUCAGCUGUUUUCUCCCCUGUCUCAAUGGCUUUACCCUUCCUUGUGCAUUGUUCCAUAGAGGAGGCAUCAUCAGAAGCAGCUAAAGUGACCACAAAGCAGUAGUCACACAUGUGGAGCAACUGGAGAAUGCUGGAAUGUGGAGUAUAGAGUGUGUGAUAUUGGCAGUAAGUUCUAUGAAAGAUGAGGAAGAGGAUGUUGGUAUUGGCUUCCUGGAAGGGCAUUGAGAAUAUAAUAUUGACCAAGAAGGCUUCAGUGUCAGCCUUUGGGAAAGGUUACAGUAAAUGCGAGAACAUGCAGGAACUGGUGAAUGUUGGCGAAACUGAUGUUGCCAUCAUAGAACCCAGGAGACCAGAAGUUGAGCCAGUGAAGACACUGACAUGCUUCGAAUUGGGACCUGGCAAAUUUCCUCCCUGUCUUGAGAUACACACUUGGGAAUGUGCUGGGGUGAUACCAGUUGCUUGUGCCUGGUGAGCAAACAUGCAAUCAGAGCAUCCAACAAUUCUCUAUCCCACCCCUACUCUGAAAGGGGACCACAAAGAGGUUUCUUAAUGUACCAGACGGGACGCCCAUCCAGAUGGGGCUGAAGCAACCACAGCAGGGUGUUUUAGAAGGGCACCCAGCCUCCUCUGUGUCCUGGGAAGCUCAUCCCCCUCAGUUCUUACAGACAUAUGUGGAAUCAGAUGUACCCUUUACCAGCAUUAAAUGGAUUUAUAACUCUU